UCACACCAGGCAGUGGAUGUGAAGUCAGAUGCCAGGCCCUUUCCUGGGCCUUGCACCCUCCGGGGUGCUGGACAACCGGGCUCCCCUGCCUCGAACCCCGCCGGGACUCAGACCUGUCCCUGGGUGUAGAGGGGGCGGCGGUGAGGCGCCAGACUUGCCAGCUGCCGCGGGAUGCCACGUGAGGGGCGGAGACCCUGCGGGGAAGCGAUUAAAAGCUGAACGGAGCCGCAGGGGGCCGCUGCGGGGAGGGUCUUCUUGGGGCAGCCUCGCCCCGCCCCAGUCCGGCGGCGGCACCGGUUCCGGCGGCUGCUUGAAGCGCCGGGGCGUCCCGGGCAUGAGUGGGGUUUGGGGGACCGGGGGGCCUCGGUGCCAGGCGGCGCUCGCGCUCCUGGCCUCGCUGUGCCGGGCCCGGCCGCCCCCUCUCGGGCUGGACGUGGAGACUUGUCGGAGCUUCGAGCUACAGCCCCCAGAGAGGAGUCCGAGCGCGGCCGACUCAGGUACCUCUGUCAGCCUCCUCGCAGUGGUAGUGAUUGUGUGUGGCGUGGCCCUGGUGGCAGUUUUUCUCUUUCUCUUUUGGAAGCUGUGCUGGACGCGCUGGAGGGGCAAGGAGGCCUCCAGUCCCACUUCUGCUAACCCUCCCCCGGAGGCCCUCCAGGGCCCCGGCUCCAGAGGCAACAUGGCAGACAAGCUGAAGGACAGCAGCACCCUGGGCUUCCUGGAGGCAGCUGUGAAGAUCAGCCACACAUCCCCGGAUAUCCCGGCCGAGGUGCAGAUGUCAGUCAAGGAGCACAUCAUGCGUCAUGCACGGCUGCAGCGACAGACCACGGAGCCAGCAUCAUCUACCAGGCACACAUCCUUCAAGCGCCACCUGCCACGGCAGAUGCACGUCUCCAGUGUGGACUACGGCAACGAGCUGCCGCCGGCAGCAGAGCAGCCCACAAGCAUUGGCCGAAUCAAGCCUGAACUCUACAAGCAGAAGUCGGUGGACGGGGACGAUGCCAAGUCCGAGGCCGCCAAGAGCUGUGGGAAAAUCAACUUCAGCCUGCGCUACGACUAUGAGAGUGAGACCUUGAUCGUGCGCAUCCUGAAGGCCUUCGACCUCCCUGCCAAGGACUUCUGUGGCAGCUCUGACCCCUAUGUCAAGAUCUACCUCCUGCCUGAUCGCAAGUGCAAGCUGCAGACCCGAGUGCACCGCAAGACCCUGAACCCCACGUUCGAUGAGAACUUCCACUUCCCGGUGCCCUACGAGGAGCUGGCUGACCGCAAGCUACAUCUCAGUGUCUUUGACUUCGAUCGCUUCUCCCGCCAUGAUAUGAUUGGAGAGGUCAUCCUAGACAACCUCUUUGAGGUCUCCGACCUGUCCCGGGAAACCUCCAUCUGGAAGGACAUCCAGUAUGCCACAAGUGAAAGCGUGGAUCUGGGAGAGAUCAUGUUCUCCCUGUGCUACCUGCCAACAGCAGGCCGGCUCACCCUCACAGUGAUCAAAUGUCGGAACCUCAAGGCGAUGGACAUCACAGGCUACUCAGAUCCAUAUGUCAAAGUGUCCCUGCUUUGUGACGGGCGGAGACUGAAGAAGAAGAAAACGACCAUAAAGAAAAACACUCUAAAUCCUGUCUACAAUGAAGCCAUCAUCUUUGACAUCCCCCCAGAGAACAUGGAUCAAGUCAGUCUGCUCAUCUCGGUUAUGGAUUAUGAUCGAGUGGGCCACAAUGAGAUCAUAGGAGUCUGCCGUGUGGGGAUCAAUGCUGAGGGCCUGGGCCGGGACCACUGGAACGAGAUGCUGGCAUACCCGCGGAAGCCCAUUGCACACUGGCACUCCUUGGUGGAGGUAAAGAAAUCCUUCAAAGAGGGAAACCCUCGGUUGUGAUUUCAUUCACGUGGACGCUGCAAGCAGAGAGACUGUCACCUGGAGUUAGGAUGGCAGGGCCGGGCUGCCAGCUUUGACAGCGAGAGCUCGUGCCCGUCUCCGAAACCACCUCCCACACCAUGAGCUGUGCGACCGGGCGACACCAACGGGACUCAGCGACGCUCUUUUUGCACUCGUUCAACUGUCCAAACACAGUGUCGCGCAGGGGCAGCAGCAGCCGUAGCACGAGUCUUAACUGCUCCUGCGUGGGUCAAGGCCACGACCCUUGUCGUGUGGCCAGACCUGUCUUAGUCUUUCUUGUCUCUCAAGGUGAUGUUUUCUGUGGUUUUUCACUUUUUAUGGAUCUGCUGCCAAGAAGAGAAGGGGGAAAGAGUAGGAGAAAAAGAAGAGUAGAGAGUCCAGAAGCUGGUUCAUAUAAAAUACCAUGUAAAAUAGUCUUCUCUUCUGGGGAGGUGGUGUGAUUUCCUUCAGUGUUGUGUCUCCACCAAGUGCCACAACCCUGGAGGAGAAGGACGUGGGAUGGAGCCAUGGCUGUGUCUGCAGUAGCCUGCAGAAAGGAGCAAAUCAGGCCAAGAGCCUUGACACAGCUCUAGUUGUGACCCUUGGAAGCUCUCUGUUCCUGUGACACAGACCGCGAUGCAGACUCCUGGUCCUACGGUGAAAUCACGAGCGCUCCGAGGUGUCCACGCAGCUCCGCUGGUCGUGCAGGGCUCCUUGUGUCCCCAUCUGCCUCCACUUCCUUGUUGACUUUCCUCAUCAUUUGAAAGUGUCUUGACUUCUCCUGAGAACUCAGCCCCUCUCUUUAGGAAUGAGAUUCUGCUGAAUCGAAACAUGCCGAAUGUUUUCUGGCACACCACAGUUAAUGACCAUAUUUGUUUGAACGCAGGGUCUUUGUUCUCAAAAGUAACCUCCGUUGUAAAGAAGAGAAGGCACACGUGUUUCAGAAUGACUUCUGUGUCGUGCGUAGCUUUAUGAAUUCCAUGAAGUAUCGAGCAACUGUGUAAAAAUGCCUACACAGAUCAAAGAAACACCUGCAUAAAAUGUUCUUUGGGGAAUGGGUGUUUUAAUCCAAGUCACAGCUGGAAUCCAUCUUUCUGUGAAGAGAAUCUUCUCGAUUGAAACAAAGCCAGCUUAAGCCUAUUUCAGCCCCCUUGACUCUGGGACAGUAUUCAUCUUAAACUUUAGUUCUAUAGAUUACUAAGUAUUUCAGUGUUUGUUUUAGUGGUAGUGAACGCUUUCCCCCCAUGCCCUUUAGAUCUCUAUCUUAGGCCAAAUUCAGUUUAGGAAAAAAAAACAAAAAGUUUCAACUAUUCUGUAUUGUAAUGGUACGUUUCUGUUGAGUUCGUAGUGGUCUCCCCACCAACCACAUAUAACUCGCUUGAUUUCCUCACAGUCUGUAGAGCCCUGGUAAAUUUGUGGAGGUGAGUUUCUACUUUAUCUGUGACUACACAAUGCCAGCUUCCAGAGUUGUGUGUGUGACUUGGCAAGAGGCAAGUCUGCUGAAGAAACCCUUCUUACAUCAGGGGAAGGUCAAGAAGGGAAAAGCUAUUCACGCACCUUGUGUCUUAGUCUUUAUGUCACGUGCUUUAGGAGCAGAAACUCAAUAAAGUAAGCCUCCCCUUAAGCCAAGUUAUCAGGUUUCUCUGCUGAUAGAACUGUGGGCAGUAUCUUCUACCCAAAGUUCAGACUGGGCGAGAGGAUGACCAAGAUAUUGUGGCCAGAGAAGUUUUCAGCUUAGAGAAGCAAAGGCAGAUACACCAAAUCCCACUCUGUACUAAGCCUUGGGCUAGGAGUUCAUGUGUCAUUGGUAUAGAGAUAGUUUUCUCCCCAAAUAUCUUGUGAUCGAGAGGCCAUCCUUGUCAGGCUGUACUGAGCUGGGUGUUCUUUUGAGAGUGAGACAAAAACCCAAAAUCACGACAAGACUCAGAGCAGGCCGUAAUCUUCAUUCUGUCUCUUGACUCGAGACUGACUUCAUCAAGAUGGCCGUCUCGAUCACUGAGCAGAGGCUGUGGGGUCCCUGCAACUAGGAAGGGGACAGUUGAGUUUCCUGGGCCAUGAGCAGCCCAGAAAUGAGGGUGAGAGGGUCUUUCCGGAAGUGAUCUCAAAACGCAUGUCCAGCUGCCUUCUUCAUAGCCCUGGACACACGAGGAUGACCACUUAACUCUUGGAGGAGGAAGGGUGAUCCGUGGAAUAGUUACUGCUCUCAGACAUCCCUUCUAUGUCCAAGCAGCUAACUCACACAAGUGAACCUCCCAGUGGUUUUGGGAAAUCAUUUCCUGAACAGAUGAUAGUCAGCCCCACACUACCUACCCAGCUGCUGCUGCUCACACUGCAGCGGUCUUGGUAAAUUUCUAUAGGCUGGGAAGCCCACCCCAGGGAGGCUCUUGGCUCCAGGAGCCCCACCCCCAGUGUCUUCUGGGGGGACUAGUCCUCAACCCAAAGCAUGAAUGAAUCUGAAUGUCUGUCAACGUCAUUAUCGAGCCCAAUACUUCUUCCUCGCGGAUGAGAGUAAAAUGAAUUACAAGUUUCAGAAUAAAAUGGAAUACAAAGUCGAUUCAUUUGUUAGCUUCUCUGCCACAAGAAGCCUUUUUCUUGGGUUGGUGUUUUGAGCUUUGCUGAAGUCAUGAUAACCAAGGCCUUUUGCAUAUUGAUGUUUUUAAAAAAAUGCCAAGUUCUCUUCUUUAUUCAGCAGUUUUUCUGGGCUGAAAGAUGCCCUCCCUUCCUUUGCAUACUCAGGAUAUUAAUUAAUUGCAACAUCAUUUAAAUAAUUAUGUUGUUAAUUACCGCUUCAUGUCUCCCGCCCCGUCACAGCCUGAAGUUUUUCUUCAAUUAAAUCUGUGUCUUGCCCGUUUCUCUUGUCAUCGUAUGUUCCUGAGGCUCAGCCGUCCGCAUACACACAGGACACUGCACAGCUUUUGUCUUUAAGUGUUGUUUCCCGUAGAUAACCAGUUCCCUUCCAUCGGAGCUACCGUGGAAGGCUUGUUUGUUUUUUGUGCUGCCCAGAAAAUACCCGCAUACCCCACGAAGCUAAAAUCCACCUGUGUUCUGCCAGGCUUAUGGCUCGCAGAGCAUUUGGAGCGCGGGGCUGUGCUGUUUCCUAGCUGUUCAGCUCAGCAAGCAGCCCCUCCAGAUGCCCAGGCUUCUCUAGGGAAGCGGGUUGCACGCUCAUCGCCGGAAAGUGCAACACUUCCGCCCACCGGGGGAGGAAUCCCGCUAACUCUCAUAAAACACCACUUGGCCGAGUGAGGAGAAAAAUCCUGCUGCAGACUUGAACAUUUAAAAAGAACAUUCUGACUUAAUAGAAUAUCCUCUGUGCUCACCCCCAGCUUUUAAUUAAUUUAGGAAGCAGCCCAUAGGGAGGAACGUGGAAGGUACCGUCCGCUCUUGCACAUCUGCAUCUAAAUUACUGGCACUCGGCAGUGAGCUGCCGUGGAGAGAGCCCAGGUGGUGAGGGAAGCACUCUGCUUCCCAAACCCACAGCCUCCCAGGGCUUCCGCAGGCUGAGGGGUCGCCCAUCAGCAGGCGGGGCCGCUCCUAUUUGGAGCGGAUCCCGGAAAGGGGCAGAUGGGUCUGGCUGGCUGGGCUGGGUCAGGCAGCCAGAACAACCUUCAGACUUCCGUGGCUGGGAACAACAAUGGCUUCUCAUUCGUGCUCAUGCCCGUCGCAGGUCGCAGGUCGGCAAAGGGAUCCCUGCUCAUCUGAUGUUUUCAGGGGAACUCAGAAUGACAAAGGAGCCGACAUCUCCAACAUGGCUAGUUGCCACACCCGAGGGAAAUGAGCACUCCGAAGCUUCUCUGUUGGCCUCAACACUGUGGCCCAGAGGAGACACAUGUCCCUUUCCCUCCCCGUCCAUGACCCACGACUACUCAUGGGGCCUCCCAGAACACAGGGGUUCAAGCGCCCAAGGGGAAGAAGAACUGGAAAUCACUGUCCAGUGCUUGGGAUGACCACAGUGAAGUUAGCAGCCCCAUGGAGGGUGACAGCUGCCCCUGGCUGAGUCAGAGAAACAAAGAGAAGUUACAGUCCAUUAGUUGUUGAGUGAACUCAAGGACUAGAUGGAGCCCCCAGGACUGGGCCAGCCUCAGACUCGCAUGCUGCCGGCAAAAAGCUUUUGGCUAGUGAACUGGCAGCGUAAGUGAUUAUAGUCGGAGAUAGAAAGUGGUGAGCACAGGAUGGGAGAUGAAAUAGAAGGCUCCAGAAUUCUGAGAAAGCAGAUCACAGCAGGGCAGAAUGACCCGCUUCAGAUUUGGAAUACAGGAGGGUGUGAGGAGGGGACACAUCCCGGGCUGAGGGGCCUAUACACCAUGCCACCAGGCUGCAGACCUGGCCCCUGCCUCGUUCCUGCUAGGUGCCUCCACGAAAUGGGCCCGCUGCCCCUCCUCCCUCCACUGCUGGCUUGGCUUCUGCUCCUGGGUGGGCUAAUCCCCCCGGAACUGCAAGCUUUGCCUGACUUUGAGACUCUGUCUAGCUGUCACACGUCAUCCACUCACCCAGCCUCCCCUCCCCGGGAAGUUUUGCAGCCACAGCCCACUCAGGACUUCGUGAUUUGUCCCGUGGCCCGCUCCUCUUUGCAGUGAGCCCCAUCUAGAUGUCUGAUGGCCUAGGAAGGGGAACAGGACUGGCCUCCCCUCAAACCCCCCAUGGCUUUCCUCUGGCUGGCUCACAGCGGCACUCCCAGCAUGGCCACGGCAAGCCCACCAGCAAGAUUGGAGGCCAAGAGGCUGGCAGGCAGUUAGAGCCGUUCACCCAGGAGGGGCGGAGGGGUGAGCUAGACAGAGGUCCCACACAGGGAAACGAGGGCACCUGUACAGGACACAGUGGACACAGGUGGACCACGCAGCAGGGCUGACGGCUUAGCAGAUCUGGAAGGCAGGGAUAAGGAAGGGAGUCGAAUGUUCUCACACUUGAGGCACCAGAAAAAUGAUGGAGCCUUCCAUAGAACCUGGAGACUCGACAGAUCAGCUCUGGGCUCAGCAAUGAGUCGGGUUUGGGUCAACUGAAUUUGAGAUGCAGAAGGGAUAAGCAGCAGACGGCCGUAGUUUGAGAAGCAGUUUGGCAGAGAGGUCGGGCGUGAGAUGUUAAUUUCUAGAAAGCUUAUGCACCAGAACGAGAUGUGAAGCCAAGAGUCUGACACAGCCACAUGGGUACAAGCAGACAAGGAGAAUCUCAAAGAGGGCUUCUUGGGGAACCAUCAAGAUUUAGAGGUCAAGGAAAAAGAAAGUGAUGUGAAUGAUCAUGGAGGUGUGCCCAAGCAAAGUUGAUCAAUGAGGAUGGGGAUGAAUAAAACAGAUCAGUCAAGGGCCUCAUAAAAUGAUUCUUCACAAGUUCAUCCAAAGUGCUUGGACAUCGCUUGAGUCGCAAGUCUGCUCCCCCCUCGUUGGCAGGGACCCUCGUCUUCCUUCCCCUUGCCUCUGCUCUUGCCUUUGGCGUGGGGGGGGUAGAAUAUACUUGUCUUCAGUUUACCAUUUUAACCAUUUUUAACAGUAUAAUGCAGCGGCUUUCAAUAUAUUCACAUUGUUGGGGAACCGUCACCACUGGCCCUCCACAGAACUUUUCUCAUCUCUGCACCCAUUGAACAGCAGAUCCCUAGCCCCUGGCAACCCCAUUCUAUUUUCUGUGUUCAUGAAUUUCACUAUUCCAGAUACCUCAUGUAAGUGGAAUCAUAUCGUAUCUGUCCUUUCGUGUCAGGAUUAUUUCACUUAGCAGAAUAUCCUCAAGGUAGACCCAUGUUGUAUAUGUGUCAUAAUUUCCUUCCUUUUUAAGGCCAAAUAAUAUUCCAUUGUAUGAAUAUACUACAUUUUGUUUUCCAUUGAUCUGUUGGUGGACCUUUGGGUCGCUUCCACCUUUUGGCUAUCGUGAAUAAUUCCUCUGUGAAUGUGGGUAUACAAAGAUCUCUUCUUGUCUCUGCUUCUCUGGGGUGUACACCCAGAAGUGGAUGGUCAUUCUAUUUUUAAUAUUUGGGGGAACUGCCAUACUGUUUUUCAUAACGGUGGCGCCAUGUUACAUUCCCUCAGGCAGUGCCCAAAAGUUCCAAUUUCUCUCCACCCUCACCAACACUUGUUAUUUUAUAUAUUUUUGAUGGCAGGCAUCAGAAAGGGUGUGAAAUGGUAUCUAACUGUGAUUUGAUUUGCAUUCUCCUAAUGAUCAGUGAUGUCAAGUAUCUUUUUUUUUUUCAGUAUGCAAUACAGGUUUAUUAACUAUACAUCCCCAUGACUUACUUGUUAUACAACUGAAAGUUUUGAUGUCAAGUAUCUUUACUGGCCAUCUGUAUAUCUCUUUUGGAAAAAUGUC